AUGCGUUUUAUUCCAAACACUCGACACUGGAAAACACCUUUUCCUCACUGUAAGGAGUCCAAGGUUCUCAUCAAAAGCAGGCAAAUUCUGCAGAAUGUUUUGCCUUUGAGAGAAGAGCAUUUCUUCAGAAAGCAGAGCCAUAUCAGGAAGGAACGUGCCAGUUGCCUACAUACAUACACAGGAUGGGCGUUCGAUUGUAAUUGCACCUACAGCUACUUCUUUCUCUUGAGCCUCACCUUCCAGACCUGAGCCUGGUGUUACAGCCCAUCCCCUACGCUCUGUCUAAUGCUG
rnacentral:lncRNA from 1 species